UCCCUGGUGGCUCAGAUGGUAAAGCAUCCGCCUGCAAUGCGAAAGACCCGGGUUCAAUUCCUGGGUUGGGAA
rnacentral:tRNA from 1 species